GUUUUCGGCCUGAGUGAUCUCCGGCUUCACCUUGUUGGUGGGUAAGGCUCCCAAGGCACGCCCGCACCCGCCUGGAGGGGACGNCCCCCCGGGGCUGAGACACGCCCAAUCCCUACGGAGGCACCGUGGGGAAAAUGGGNAAUGAGGAAACUUGACCCACCACCCCCUUGCGCAUGAGGCCUUGGGUUUUAACCCCUUCUUAGGUAUUUAGCGCAAUAAGGUACCUCCGAAGAGGAGGAGGUACUAUUUCCACCGCGCGCUAAAAA
rnacentral:rRNA from 1 species